UACGGAGGGGGCAAGCGUUGUUCGGAAUUACUGGGCGUAAAGGGCUCGUAGGCGGCCAACUAAGUCGGACGUGAAAUCCCUCGGCUUAACCGGGGAACUGCGUCCGAUACUGGAUGGCUUGAGUUUGGGAGAGGGAUGCGGAAUUCCAGGUGUAGCGGUGAAAUGCGUAGAUAUCUGGAGGAACACCGGUGGCGAAGGCGGCAUCCUGGACCAACACUGACGCUGAUGAGCGAAAGCGAGGGGAGCAAACGGG
rnacentral:rRNA from 1 species